rnacentral:rRNA from 1 species
CGUCGAUAGGCCAUAGGUGGAAGGGCGGCAACGUCCGUAGCCGAGUGGUACUAAUUGCCCGUUGGCUUGCGCAA